rnacentral:rRNA from 1 species
UACGUAGGGGGCAAGCGUUGUCCGGAAUCAUUGGGCGUAAAGCGCGUGUAGGCGGCUUGAUAAGUCUGCUCUGAAAGCCCGGGGCUCAACCCCGGGAGGCGGGUGGAUACUGUCAAGCUCGAGUCCGGAAGAGGAGUGUGGAAUUCCUGGUGUAGCGGUGAAAUGCGCAGAUAUCAGGAAGAACACCCGUGGCUAAGGCGGCUCUCUAGUACGUGACUGACGCUGAGACGCGAAAGCGUGGGGAGCGAACAGG